AGCGAACGCUGGCGGCAGGCUUAACACAUGCAAGUCGAACGCCCCGCAAGGGGAGUGGCAGACGGGUGAGUAACACGUGGGAACGUAGCCUUUGGUUGGGUAAAACUUGGGGAAACUCAAGCUAAUACCGGAUAAGACCUUAUGGAGAAAGAUUUAUCGCCCUUAGACGGGCCCGCGUCGGAUUAGCUAGUUGGUGGGGUAACGGCCUACCAAGGCGACGAUCCGUAGCUGAUCUUAGAGGAUGAUCAGCCACACUGGGACUGAAACACGGCCCAGACUCCUACGGGAGGCAGCAGUGGGGAAUCUUGGACAAUGGGCGCAAGCCUGAUCCAGCCAUGCCGCGUGAGUGAAGAAGGUCUUCGGAUUGUAAAGCUCUUUUGCCAGGGACGAUAAUGACGGUACCUGGAGAAUAAGCCCCGGCAAACUUCGUGCCAGCAGCCGCCGUAA
rnacentral:rRNA from 1 species